rnacentral:rRNA from 1 species
UACGUAGGGGGCUAGCGUUGUCCGGAAUCAUUGGGCGUAAGCGCGUGUAGGCGGUCCGGUAAGUCCGCUGUGAAAGUCGGGGGGCUCAACCCUCGAAUGCCGGUGGAUACUGUCGGGCUAGAGUGCGGAAGAGGCGAGGCGGAAUUCCUGGUGUAGCGGUGAAAUGACGCAGAUAUCAGGAGGAACACCAAUUGCGAAGGCAGCUCGCUGGGACGUAACUGACGCUGGAGACGCGAAAGCUGGGGAGCAAACAGG